rnacentral:rRNA from 1 species
UACGUAGGGUGCAGCGUUGUCCGGAUUUAUUGGGCGUAAAGAGCGUGUAGGCGGCCAGAUAGGUCUGCUGUGAAAACUCGAGGCUCAACCUCGAGAUGUCGGCGGAAACCAUUUGGCUAGAGUCCGGAAGAGGAAAGUGGAAUUCCUGGUGUAGCGGUGAAAUGCGCAGAUAUCAGGAAGAACACCCGUGGCGAAGGCGGCUUUCUGGGACGGUACUGACGCUGAGACGCGAAAGCGUGGGGAGCGAACAGG